GCCUGGCCAGCCUUCUCUUCUAUUAAUCUGCUUUUUGUCAGUUGAUUUUUCAGCAAACCUUCAGGGGACAAAGGCAAAGUUUUUUCCUUAGCCCUUGCAUUACAUAAAACUAAAAGAGUCUCCAGUCUGUCCCAUUGCCCAAAGGCUGCCUCUCUGUCCCAGGCCUAGAUUUUCCUCUGCUCACCCCCCUCCGCCACCCAGUCCCCACUCCAGAUAAAACAAUCUGCUCACCACAUGUUGGACACAUGAUUUACAGCUUCCUACUUACAGACUUUCUCUGCCAAAAUCCGUAUUCCUCCUUCAUAACUUGCUUCCAAGAGCUUCCCCGUGAUCUCGGCCUAUUGUGAUCUCUUCUUUCCACCAGGUUCAUGGAACAGGGAGAAGAAUAAUUGACGUCGGGGCUUGGCUUUAUGGUCUUUACAGCUGUGAUCGGAUUAGAAGAAAGGCUGACAAAAGUGUUGUUUCCAUCCGCCUUUUACAAUCGGAGAGAAUGAAUGAGCUGCUUUCCAGUUUUCUGUUCCAAGUAUUAACUGGAUUCCCACUUCACUUUGCUUCCGUGAUUUCUCCUCUGCUUAUGUUAGCUUCCGUCUCACACGAUAUGUACAUAGCCCCAUCUCUGCCGAGCAAAUCAGAGGCUGAGCUCUGGGCUGUGGACAGUGUCAGUGACAACAAGGGUGAGUCGUCCUCAGAUGAAUCAUCAGGUGUGGGAAAUGCGUUUGAGACACUCAAAAUAACUGGGGACUGAUGGGUGGCGGGGGGGGGCUUAAUAAAUACAAGCCUGCGAGACCUAACUUCUACACGUCUUCAGAAGGCUGAGUUGCUUUGAGAGGGAGAUACAGAAGAUGACAAUUUGCUGCCAGUGGCUGGUCCCAGACAAGGAGCUGUGACUAAACAGGAAAUCAGUUACUUAGCAGUUGAGCGGAUGUUUGAGUGUUCAAAGCACAGGCACAAUAGCUAUACUCUGAUAUGUCCUGUAAAGUUAAAAACAAAGCCAGGUUAACCCUGACAGAUGCACCCAAGACUGAUACACUUAGGUACUACCUGGUUGCAUCGCCUGGGGAUCUUAAUACUCUGUGAAUCAUUAUGAAUUAUAAUAUUUAAAGCUGUUGUUUAUUUGGUAUUUAUUGGGUGUCAUAAUGUUCCCAGUGCUACACAGGCGUAAUUUUUAAACCACCCCAAAAGUCCUGCAAGAGGUUAGGCGUGAUGGCUCACGUCUGUAAUCCUAGCACUUUGGGAGGCUGAGGUGGGCAGAUUUCUUGAGCCCAGGAGUUAAGAGACCAGCCUGGGUAACAUGGCAAGACCCCUAUCCCUAUAAAAAAAAUUUUUUUUCAAAAAAAAAAUCAGCCAGGCAUGACGGUGCAUGCCUGUAGUCCCAGCUACUUGGGAGACUAAGGUGGGAGGAUUACCCAAGCUUGGAGAGGUAGAGACUGCAGUGAGCCAUGAUGGCACCACUGCACUCCAGCCUGGGCAAUGGAGUGAGACC
rnacentral:lncRNA from 10 species